GAUGAAGAACGCAGCGAAAUGCGAUACUUGGUGUGAAUUGCAGAAUCCCGUGAACCAUCGAGUCUUUGAACGCAAGUUGCGCCCGAAGCCAUUAGGCCGAGGGCACGCCUGCCUGGGCGUCACACGUCGUUGCCCCCCCCAUCUACUCCUUCGGGAUUACGGGGGGCGGAUGAUGGCCUCCCGUGCGCCUCGCCGCGCGGUUGGCAUAAAUGCCAAGUCCUCGGCGACGCACGCCACGACAAUCGGUGGUUGCGAAACCUCGGUUGCCCGUCGUGUGCGGUCGUCGCGCAUCGAGGGCUCGAAAAAAUUGCCGAGUUCCGGCUCGGCUUUCAACGCGACCCCAGGUCAGGCGGGGUUACCCGCUGAAUUUAAGCAUAUCAAUAAGCGGAGGA
rnacentral:misc_RNA from 1 species